rnacentral:rRNA from 1 species
AUUGAACGCUGGCGGCAGGCCUAACACAUGCAAGUCGAACGGUAACAGGAAGAAGCUUUCUUCUUUGCUGACGAGAGGCGGAAGGGUGAGUCAUGUCUGGGAAACCGCCUGCUGGAGGGGGAUGACUACUGGAAACGGUAGCUAAUACCGCAUAACGUCGCAGGACCAAAGAGGGGGACCUUCGGGCCUCUUGCCAUCUGAUGUGCCCAGAUGGGAUUAGCUGGUUGGUGGGGUAACGGCUCACGAAGGCGACGAUCCCUAGCUGGUCUGAGAGGAUGACCAGCCACGCUGGAACUGAGACACGGUCCAGACUCCGACGGGAGGCAGCAGUGGGGAACAUUGCACAAUGGGCGCAAGCCUGAUGCAGCCAUGCCGCGUGGAUGAAGAAGGCCUUCGGGUGUGAAAGUACUUUCAGCGGGGAGGAAGGGAGUAAAGUUAAUAACUAUGAUCAUUGACGUUACCCGCAGAAGAAGCACCGGCUAACUCCGUG